rnacentral:rRNA from 1 species
AAUCAAACUACAAAUUGUUCGCCAAACAACUACGAGUAAUACUUAAAACUUAAAAGACUUGACGGUACUUCACCCCGACCUAGAGGAGCCUGUCUAAUAACCGAUAACCCACGAUUAACCCAACCACUUCUUGCCCUACAGUCUAUAUACCGCCGUCGCCAGCUUACCUUGUAAAAGAAAUAAAGUGAGCCAAAUAGUAACACACUAAAACGACAGGUCGAGGUGUAACCUAUGAAGAGGCUAAGAUGGGCUACAUUCUCUAACAGAGAAUACGAACAACACUAUGAAAUUAGUGUUCGAAGGCGGAUUUAGCAGUAAGAUAAGAAUAGAACACCUAACUGAAAAUAACGCAAUGAAGUGCGCACACACCGCCCGUCACCCCUGCCACCAC